UUGUUUUGUUUUUCCCAGAAGUGUUUUUUAAGGGUGAUCUGAAUCACAGUGGUUUGAUGCUGGCUCUCUGGUGACGCAUAAGCCAUUUUGGGGUGAACCCUGAGUUGCGGCACUCCCUCCCAUGACUCAGCCUGCGUUCUCUCUUACUUCUGUGGCUGUGCAAAGCAUUUUCCUCCCCGCCUCUUUGGGGACCGGAGAGCUGAGCCCUGACCGUGGAAGCAGAGGAUGCUGGGAAACCUGACAUGGGCAGCGGCGUUUUCCAGUUCUGGUUGGCUCCUGAGGUGGAUGGUCUACCACCUGGUCUACCACCUGGUCUCCUGAAAACUUAUUAGAAACAGCUUCUACGAUGAUGCACGGCAGAAUAGUGUAGAAGAUAUUAAAAAUGAUUUUUUAAAAUCCCCACAGAGGAAAAUUGUUUUACACUUGGUGGUAAAUAUGCAAAAGCAUGUGUGCACUUCCUCACAGCCACAUUAAACACAACAACAUGGCCACAUAACAAAUGUAUAAAUUCAGAUUCUUCAGUCUCAAAAUAGACCGUGAAUGAAUCUGCAAAAAAAAGUGUUUUAUAGUUUGUCAGGGAUUUUCAUUUCACCUCUUGCUGAUGCAAAUACCCACAGAGGCCUGCAAUUUGUCAUGUUAUGGAAAUGUCAA